rnacentral:rRNA from 1 species
AUUGAACGCUGGCGGCAGGCCUAACACAUGCAAGUCGAGCGGUAACACAGAGGAGCUUGCUCCUUGGGUGACGAGCGGCGGACGGGUGAGUAAUGCCUGGGGAUCUGCCCGAUAGAGGGGGAUAACUACGGGAAACUGUAGCUAAUACCGCAUAACGUCUACGGACCAAAGUGGGGGCUCUUCGGACCUCAUGCUAUCGGAUGAACCCAGGUGGGAUUAGCUAGUUGGUGAGGUAAUGGCUCACCAAGGCGACGAUCUCUAACUGGUUUGAGAGAAUGACCAGUCACACUGGAACUGAGACACGGUCCAGACUCCUACGGGAGGCAGCAGUGGGGAAUAUUGCACAAUGGGCGCAAGCCUGAUGCAGCCAUGCCGCGUGUGUGAAGAAGGCCUUCGGGUUGUAAAGCACUUUCAGCGGGGAGGAAGGGCUACUAGUUAAUACCUAGUGGCAUUGACGUUACUCGCAGAAGAAGCACCGGCUAACUCCGUGCCAGCAGCCGCCGUAAGAC